rnacentral:lncRNA from 10 species
UACUUCCUAUUGCUUCCUUGCUUUCUUUUUUUGUUUGAGACAGAGUCUCACUCUGUCACCCAGGCUGGAGUACAGUAAGGCAAUCUUGGCUCCCAGGCUCAAGAGAUCCUCCCACAUCAGCCUCCUGAGUAGCUGGGACUACAGGCACGCGCCACCAUGUCCAGCUGAUUUUUGUAUUUGUAUUUGUAUUUGUAUGUAUGUAUGU